GGGGAAUAUUGGGCAAUGGACGCAAGUCUGACCCAGCAACGCCGCGUGAAGGAAGAAGGCUUUCGGGUUGUAAACUUCUUUUAAGGGGGAAGAGUAGAAGACGGUACCCCUUGAAUAAGCCACGGCUAACUACGUGCCAGCAGCCGCGGUAAUACGUAGGUGGCAAGCGUUGUCCGGAUUUACUGGGCGUAAAGGGCGCGUAGGCGGCCUGUUAAGUCAGAUGUGAAACCCCCAGGCUCAACUUGGGGAUUGCAUAUGAAACUGAUGGGCUCGAGUGUCGGAGAGGAAAGCGGAAUUCCUAGUGUAGCGGUGAAAUGCGUAGAUAUUAGGAGGAACACCAGUAGCGAAGGCGGCUUUCUGGACUGUAACUGACACUGAGGCACGAAAGCGUGGGGAGCAAACA
rnacentral:rRNA from 1 species